UACAGAGGUCUCAAGCGUUGUUCGGAUUCAUUGGGCGUAAAGGGUGCGUAGGUGGCAGGGUAAGUCGGAUGUGAAAUCCCGGGGGCUCAACCCUCGGAACUGCAUUCGAUACUGCUUUGCUGGAGUACUGGAGAGGAGAUUGGAAUUUACGGUGUAGCAGUGAAAUGCGUAGAUAUCGUAAGGAAGACCAGUGGCGAAGGCGAAUCUCUGGACAGUUACUGACACUGAGGCACGAAGGCCAGGGGAGCAAACGGG
rnacentral:rRNA from 1 species